rnacentral:rRNA from 1 species
CGAACGCUGGCGGCGCGUUUAAGGCAUGCAAGUCGGACGGUAAGGCACCUUCGGGUGUACACGAGUGGCAAACGGGUGAGUAACACGUGGAUAAUCUACCUUAGAGUGGGGAAUAACCCUAAGAAAUUAGGGCUAAUACCGCAUUAUACCUUUUGAUCAUAAGGUCGAAAGGUCAAAGAAGCAAUUCGCUUUAAGAUGAGUCCGCGGUCUAUUAGCUUGUUGGUAAGGUAAAAGCUUACCAAGGCUACGAUGGAUAGCCGGCCUGAGAGGGUGAUCGGCCACAUUGGAACUGCGACACGGUCCAGACUCCUACGGGAGGCAGCAGCUAAGAAUCUUGGUCAAUGGGCGCAAGCCUGAACCAGCGACGCCGCGUGGAUGAUGAAGGCCUUUUGGGUUGUAAAAUCCUUUUCUACAGGAAGAAUACCUUUGCAAAAUAAGGUUGACGGUACUGUGGGAAUAAGCCCCGGCUAAUUAC